UGCAAGUCGAGCGAAUGGAUUGAGAGCUUGCUCUCAAGAAGUUAGCGGCGGACGGGUGAGUAACACGUGGGUAACCUGCCCAUAAGACUGGGAUAACUCCGGGAAACCGGGGCUAAUACCGGAUAACAUUUUGAACUGCAUGGUUCGAAAUUGAAAGGCGGCUUCGGCUGUCACUUAUGGAUGGACCCGCGUCGCAUUAGCUAGUUGGUGAGGUAACGGCUCACCAAGGCAACGAUGCGUAGCCGACCUGAGAGGGUGAUCGGCCACACUGGGACUGAGACACGGCCCAGACUCCUACGGGAGGCAGCAGUAGGGAAUCUUCCGCAAUGGACGAAAGUCUGACGGAGCAACGCCGCGUGAGUGAUGAAGGCUUUCGGGUCGUAAAACUCUGUUGUUAGGGAAGAACAAGUGCUAGUUGAAUAAGCUGGCACCUUGACGGUACCUAACCAGAAAGCCACGGCUAACUACGUGCCAGCAGCCGCGGUAAUACGUAGGUGGCAAGCGUUAUCCGGAAUUAUUGGGCGUAAAGCGCGCGCAGGUGGUUUCUUAAGUCUGAUGUGAAAGCCCACGGCUCAACCGUGGAGGGUCAUUGGAAACUGGGAGACUUGAGUGCAGAAGAGGAAAGUGGAAUUCCAUGUGUAGCGGUGAAAUGCGUAGAGAUAUGGAGGAACACCAGUGGCGAAAGCGACUUUCUGGUCUGUAACUGACACUGAGGCGCGAAAGCGUGGGGAG
rnacentral:rRNA from 1 species